ensembl:lncRNA
UUCAACUUUCAUCCUUUCAGAACAGAUCACUGGCAGAAUGUUCCUACAGUAGAAAUAACUACUUUGUAGUUUUGUUUUAUUAUCAAGAUCUGAAAUAUUUUAACAAAUGUAAGUCGGCUGGUGGGACCUGGCAAGCUCUGGAAAGAGCUCUGGAGGGGAACCAAAAUAUGUCUCUCACAUGUUCCCACGCCUUCUUAUGUAAUAAAAAGAGAACAUGCUGCCUGAAUGUCUUUCAUCAUUAUGAUUCUCUAAGGCUGUCUGAAGUGUAUGGGUAAUCCCAUUGUUACCUAAUCCAUCACAGUACUUAAUAUUCCCAGGAGCACCCUUCCGGCUUUCCAUGGAGAAUUUCAGUUUCAGAAACCUGGGUUUGGAAAGCUCAACAUUCUUGAUCUCAAGCAACGAAUUGAGAAGCCUGCAUAACUACACUCUGCAAAUGAUCAAAAUCAGCAUCACUCACUCUGUGGGGCUCUCGGAAACGAGUCCACUUAGCUCUCCCCAAACUCCACAGGGUUCCCCCAAAUGGCAGCACUGGGGCCCAGCGUGAAGCAGCUAAUGCUGUGUACGGGAUGCAAUUUCAAAACAACCCAGAUUCAUUCUAGCUAAUCAAGUGGGCCAGAGGGGAGCGCUCGUCAGAUGUCCACAACCACACAAUCCCCAUAGCCCAUUUUAUAUUCUCAAAUAUAUUUCUUUGAAUAAUUUUUUGAAGUGAAAUUGUUUUGAAUUCCCAUAAUCUUUCUGUUGAAGUUUAUGAAAAAAAAAAAUUCUUGUGCUCUUCUGGAUAUAAAAUAUAACUAGAGAAGUAAAGCAAAAAUAAAAUCAAUUCCAUGUUAGGAAAGGAAAUUCAGAAUUUAUACAUUCGAUGAAGAAAGCUGGGACAUAAUUAAUUAGCAACUAUUCUUAAAUUUGGAUGAGCAAAUGUGUUCUGUUUUUAUUGUGGAACGCUGGGCUGCGGAGACGUUCUGGAUCUGAUGCCAAUCAGCCUCCCAUUUUUACUUAAUUAAGUGUCAUCUAGAGCUCCUGCUGGCAUAAAAUGGUUUCAAGUUCUCCUGUUUUUCUUUUGCUUUCUUGUCAAAAUCCAUUUACUAAAUGGUAUCAAAAACUAUCUUUUAAUACAGAAAAUGUAGAGGUGUGGAUAGGUAUGCAGAACAGGAUCUGUGGAAGCAGAUAAACUCACCUGAAUCCAAGCUCUGUCACUUUCUAGCACCUGCUCUUUGCUAUUAUUUCACCUUUCAAAUCCUUAGUUUCCUCAAGUGCAAAACAGGUAAAAAUGCUCACUUCAUAAUGCUGUUGUUAGGACUAAAUGACAUAGAGUAAGGACUUAAUGAAUGAAUGGUUGUUCUUUUGUAAUAAUUAUAGACUCAUAGGAAAUUGCACAAAGAAUAUGGAGACGUCCCUGUGUGCUUCGCCCAGUUUACCUCAAUGGUUACUCCUUACAUAUAGUACAAUAUCAAAACCACAGAAUUGAUUUUGAUAUAAUGUGGAUGUAUAUUUUGAGGUCAUUGUAUCACACAUGUGUAUUCCUAUAGUUACCACUACAAUCAAGAUAAAGAACUCUUCCAUCACUACAAAGGUCUCUCCCUCACGCUACUCAUAAAGUCACACCCACUUCUUUCCCUCACUCCCAUCAACUCUAACCUCUAGCAACUACCAAUCACUAUAGUGAUGAGUUUUCCAUCGCUGUAAUUUUGUAUUUAUAUAUAAAUGAGAAUGUUGAUGUAAAUGGAAUAACCGUGUGUGACCUUGAGACU